AUACAGCUAAUUUAAAAAAAAUGUUAAUUUGUGGUGUUAAAAAUACUUAAUUAAAGUUCUGUGUA
rnacentral:tRNA from 1 species